GGGUAACCCCUAGCCUUUUCUUCAAAGGGCUUUCCGGCUCGGCCGGAAUUGGCUCCGUUGUACCCGGAAGUCCCGCCUACAAUUUGACGCUACUUGGAAGGGGCCCAAUGAGGGACGGGGCACUGGGGGAGGGGUCUCGGAAGCCUGAUAGGCGCUGUGAGCAGCGAUGUCAGGUCCCGUCUCUGGUGUCUCUCUUGGUAUAUCCACGCCUCUUCCGAUGUGAGCUCUUUUGUUGCUUCUCUUUUCCGUUAGUUCCCCAGUUACUUUUAAAACUUGUUGCAUGUAGUAUCUGCUUUUUUACUGAGAGAGCAGACUCCGGCCAUAUUGCCUUGAACCUUUUCCUAUUACUAGCUGGGUGACCUUGGCUGGUUAGUCACCUCCGUAAAUCUGUUUUUUUCGUUUGUAAAAUGGGAGUAAAUAAGAGUGCCAGCCUCAUGGAGUCGUUGUGAAGACUGAAAUAAUGAACAGUUUGUAUAAAUAGUAAGGAGGCGCAGAGCGCUAUAGAAGUGUUUAUUAUUAUUAAGGUUGUUGUUUUUUACUUUUCCCUUCUGUCAGUGCUCUGCAUACCUCACUGUUGUUGUUAGGUGCCGUCGAGUCGGUUCCGACUCAUAGCGACCUUAUGCGCAACGGAACGAAACACUGCCCAGUCCUGUGCCAUCCUGACAAUUGUUGUUAUGCUCGAGCUCAUUGUUGCAGCCACUGUGUCAAUCCACCUCCUUGAGGGUCUUCCCCUUUUCCGCUGACCCUGUACUCUGCGAAGCAUGAUGUGCUUCUCCAGGGACUGAUCCCUCCUGACAACAUGUCCGAAGUAUGUAAGAGGCAGUCUCGCCCUCCUUGCCUCUGAGGAGCAUUCUGGCCACACUUCUUCCAAGACAGAUUUGUUCAUUCUUUUGGGAGUCCACGGUAUAUUCAAUAUUCUUCGCCAACACCACAAUUCGAAGGUGUGAAUUCUUCUUCGGUCUUCUUUAUUCAUUGUACAGCUUUCACAUGCAUAUGAUGCGAUUGAAAAUACCAUGGCUUGGGUCAGGUGCACCUUAGUCUUCAAGGUGACAUCUUUGCUUUUCAACAGUUUAAAGAGGUCCUUUGCAGCAGAUUUGCCCAAUGCAAUGCGUCUUUUGAUUCCUUGACUGCUGCUUCCAUGGCUGUUGGUUGUGGAUCCAAGUAAAAUGAAAUCCUUGACAACUUCAAUCUUUUCUCUGUUUAUUAUGAUGUUGUUCAUUGUUCCAGUUGUGAGGAUUUUUGUUUUCUUCAUGUUGACGUGCAAUCCAAACUGAAGGCUGUGGUCUUUGAUCUUCAUUAGUAAGUGCUUCAAGUCCUCUUCACUUUCAGCAAGCAAGGUUGUGUCCGCUGCAUAACGCAGGUUGUUAAUGAGUCUUUCUCCUAUCCUGAUGCCCUGUUCUUCAUAUAGUCCGACUUCUCGGAUUAUUUGCUCAGCAUACAGAUUGAAUAGGUAUGGUGAAAGAAUACAACCCUGAUGCACACCUUUCCUGACUGUAAACCAAUCAGUAUCCCCUUCUUCUGUACAAACAACAGCCUCUUGAUCUAUGUAAAGGUUCCUCAUGAGCACAAUUAAGUGUUCUGGAAUUCCCAUUCUUCACAGUGUUAUCCAUAGUUUGUUAUGAUCCACACAGUCUAAUGCCUUUGCAUAGUCAAGAAAACACAGGUAAACAUCUUCUGGUAUUCUCUGCUUUCAGCCAGGAUCCAUCUGACAUCAGCAAUGAUAUCCCUGGUUCCACACCCUGUUCUGAAACCGGCCUGAAUUUCUGGCAGUUUCCUGUCGAUAUACUGCUGUAGCCAUUUUUGAAUGAUCUUUAUCAAAAUUUUGCUUGCAUGGGAUAUUAAUGAUAUUGUUCUAUAAUUUCCACAUUCGGUUGGAUCACCUUUCUUGGGAAUAGGCAUAAAUUUGGAUCUCUUCCAGUCAGUUGGCCAGAAAGCUGUCUUCCAUAUUUCUUGGCAUAGACGAGUGAGCACCUCCAGCACUGCAUCUAUUUGUUGAAACAUCUCAAUUGAUAUUCCUUCAAUUCCUGGAGCCUUGUUUUUCGCCAAUGCCUUCAGAGCAGCUUGGACUUCUUCCUUCAGUACCUUCGGUUCCUGAUCAUAUACCACCUCUUGAAAUGGUUGAACAUCAACUAAUUCUUUUUGGUAUAAUGACUCUGUGUAUUCCUUCCAUCUUCUGUUGAUGCUCCCUGCGUUGUUUAAUAUUUUCCCCACAGAAUCCUUCACUAUUGCAACUCGAGGCUUGAAUUUUUAUUUCAGUUCUUUCAACUUGAGAAACGCCGAGCGUGUUCUUCCCUUUUGGUUUUCCAUCUCCAGCUCUUUGCACAUGUCAGUAUAACACUUUGUCUUCUCGAGCCGCCCUUUGAAAUCUUCUGUUCAUUCUUUUACUUCAUCAAUUCUUCCUUUUGCUUUAGCUGCUCGACGUUCGAGGGCAAGUUUCACUAGCUCUUGAGAUAUUGCCUGUUGUUAUCAUAAUGCACUUUAUGGAUUCUUCUCUUUAGAAAAGAGGGGUUGGCGAUUGUACAGUGUGCCUUGGUUUGUGUCCUAGAUAAGACCCCUUUUUCUGCCUUGCAUUUAUCUUAGCAGAAAAUAACCCUGGGAUAUGGAAAUAAAUACCCUGGUGGGGAGGGGAGGUGAUUCUUCUCUCUUAGGAAGGCAGCAAAGACCAAAGUCUUACUAAAAACUUUAACAUUGUUAUUCACCACGUUUGUCAUUUUGUUCCAAACUCAAGUGGCCAAGGUGGUUUAGGCAUCCUGUUGCCUCAAGUUUAAUUGGAACUUGUGGCAAGUACUUGCCAAAAUAAAUAACAAAGUUUAUUCUUUGAGAGUGGAUUUAGUUUUUUCAAAUAAUGAUAAAUCUUCCAGAUCAAAACCAGGUGAGUCAGGCUAGGCCCAAAGUGGGCAAUAUUAGAUUCUAGUAAUUUAUCACGCAUUUCAUGUGUUUUUUAAAAAAUUAGCUUUAAAAGGAAAUUUCAAAAGCGGAGCUCUAAAAAUUCCUUGAGUAAUGGGAACUAUUCUAUAAAAGAUAAUAUGUGUGUAGGAGCCCUGGUGGUGCAGUGGUUAAGCACUCACUGCUCUGCAAGAGAAAGAUGCGGCAGUCUGCUUUGGUAAAAAUUUACAACCUUGAAAACUGUAUGGAACAGUUCUGCUCUGUCCUAUAGGGUCAUAAUGAGUAGGAAUCCCCUCAGCGGUGGUGGGUUUGGAUUUUUUUUUUAAUUUGUAUCUAUGACUUAAAGUAUGUUUCUUUAAAAUUCCAUUGUACUACUUUGCAUGCCAGUCAUUUAAGUUGGGUACUGAUUUCAGCUAUUUAUCAAUGAUGGGAAUAGGAAUUUUCACUAAAAUACUUAUUUGAUGUUUAUUGACAUUUUACAUGGCAGGUACUUUGAUAGGUAUUAGAGUCAAAGACUGAAGACCAAGUAAGUCAAAUUCUGCUUUCUGAUGAUGGUGGGCUAGGAAUCUACAAACUACAUUUUUCAGACUUCUUUGUCAGAUGGCUUCCAAUAAAAUUCUGCCAAGAGGAAGCACAGAUGGAGAUAAGAAGAUGGAAGGUGGGGAGAAGCUAUUGUUCUUCACUUCUUUUCCUGCUUCUGGCAUCCCUGGAAGUGGCUGUCACUUCUUACAGAGUUGCAGAACCAGUUGCUACUUCUCCUCCUUGGCUGUCCUGUCUUUCCUGAAUCAACUCAAUGCCUUCAAAAACAAACCAAACCAGUUGCAGUGGAAUGAUUCUGACUCAGGACAACCUCAUGUGUGUUAGAGGAGAGCUGUGCUCCAUAGGGAUUAGUAUGGCUGUUUUUUCAGAAGUAGAUUGCAAUGCCUUUCUUCUAAAGCCUCUGGAUGGACUUGAACCACCAACCUUUCAGUUAGCAGUGAGUCCAUUAACCAUUUGUACCACCCAGGAACUGUCUAGCCUUCAACACCUGUGUAACCAAUUCUCCAUAGUAAAUGUUGUCUGUUUCAAAUACUUUAAAUGACUUCUGUUUUCCUGACUGGACCCUGGGCUGAUAAAGAUGUAAAUGUGUACUAUUACAUAGUAUUUACAAAGCCACCAGAAUCCAGCAGUGAUGGGACAGGCACUCUAACCGUUUUCCUGAGGAUGAGGAUGUAACUCUGAGAUUUGUUUCACAUCCUCUGAAUUUUAAAAUGCCAGACUAAUGGCUCUAAACUUUUUUAUUUUUCCACAUCAGCACACUUGAAGAGUACUGUACAUGGCUAUCAAUAGCAUCUGCUCAUCAUGGUAACAUAAGGGCCACUAGGGAGUGUGCGUGUGGGGUGGAGGGGAAGUAAGGUAGGAGUGAGAAGAAAGUUGGAAAAACAGCACAUAUAAUUCAUACUUUUUGAGGAGGCAGUUUCACUUCUAGGUACUAAUUUAAGGAAGUAAUUAAGAGCUUCAUAUAACAAUUCGUUUUCCCACAAGCGUUCCUUGAGAAUAACUACCCCAAACCUAUAUAUCAGAUUACCUAUUACACAGCUUCCUAGGAUGUUCUCCAGAAUUUUAAACUUAACAUGGAUAAAACUUAUAUUCAUAAUCCAUAAUCCACCACCAACCUCUCUAAAAAAAAAUCAAUUUGAGCGUUUCCUCCUGUUUCAGAGACUAGCAUCAAUAUCCAUCCAUUUUCCAAAAUAAAGAAGCAUUCCACCUUUCAGUUUCCAUAUCUGCUGUAUAGCUGUAGCUCUGCUCCUGGCUCUCACUGCCCACCCCUUCAUUCUACAACCACACACCUGUGGAUGAUCUGUAACCCUAUCCAUAUCCUAAUUGACCUCCCAUUUCCAGUCUCGUUCUUCCUAGACAUUUAUGGAAAAUGAUAAUUUUAUCAUCUCAAACUCUGCUCAAAAUUGUUUUAUGUUUCCCCAAUGUCUAGGGCAGUACUGGGCAAUAGAACUUUCUAUGAUGAUAAAAAUGUUCUAUCUGGGCUAAGCUACGUGGUAACCACUAACCACAUGUGUCUUCUGAGCACUUGAAAUGUGGCCAGGGCACCGAAGGAACCAAAUUUUUAAUUUAAUUUAAAUUUAAUUAGCCAUAUAUGGCAAAAAAAAAAAAAAAAAAAAAAAACCCCAUUGCUGUUGAGUUGAUUCUGACUCAUAGUGACCCUAGCUACCAUAUUGGGCAGCACAGGUCUAGGCCCAAGGAAUAAAAUUCUAAACCACUUACCUUUUUUUUUUUAAAUUUUGCUAUAUAUGUAAGAAAUGCUCCCCUACUUUUGAUGCGUUAUCAGAAGGGAACAAUCCCAUGUAUAGUACUCUUCGGGUGUGCUGACGUGGAAAAAAUGUUUAGAACGACUAGUCUGGUGUUUUAAAAUUCAGUGACUGGAAAACAAACUUCAGAAGGGAGAGGGACAUCAUAUUUGGUAAAGGGUCAGUAAAAAAGAGGAAGACCCGCAAUGAAAGGAUUGACACAGUGGCAGCAACAAUGGGCUCAAAUAUAGCAACAUUGUGAGGAUGACACAGGACUGGGCAAUAUUUGGUUCUGUUAUACAUGGGGUCGCUAUGAGUCAGAACCUACUUUAUGGCAUCUAACAACAAAAGUAUGACAUUAAGCUUACCAUUUUAACCAUUUUUGAGUGUACAAUUCAGUGGUGUUAAGUACAUUUACAAUGUUGUGUCACCAUUACUACUAUCUAGUUCCAGAUCUUUUUUAAUUACCCCAAACAGAAAUUCUAUAGCCAUUAAUAACUCUUCAUUACCCCAUGCUCAUGAUAACCUCUAUUUUACUUUCUGUCUCUACGCAUUUGUCUAUUCUAAAGCGGAAUCAUACAACGUUCGUCAUUCUGUGUCUGGCCUAUUUUACUUAGCAUAAU